rnacentral:rRNA from 1 species
UACGUAGGGUGCGAGCGUUGUCCGGAAUUAUUGGGCGUAAAGAGCUCGUAGGCGGUCUGUCGCGUCUGCUGUGAAAUCCCGAGGCUCAACCUCGGGCCUGCAGUGGGUACGGGCAGACUAGAGUGCGGUAGGGGAGAUUGGAAUUCCUGGUGUAGCGGUGGAAUGCGCAGAUAUCAGGAGGAACACCGGAUGGCGAAGGCAGAUCUCUGGGCCGUAACUGACGCUGAGGAGCGAAAGCGUGGGGAGCGAACAGG